CUUGGUUUUCAGUUUUGCAGUAUUGGAAAGGACACGGCAAGGCGCCACCUCACUAGUGGGUGCUCAAAGGUUGUUUCCAGGCUGACUGAUUCAGAAUUACCUGGGUAGCUUUUAAACCAGAGAUUUCUCCCUUCCACCCUAGAUUCCUGAAGAGGGAGGUGGCUAUUAAGAAAAAAAUAAAAGGACCCUCCAGGAACUGGUAAAUAUCUUUUGGGGCAUGGCAUGGAAGUAAUAUAUUAGUAAAGCCAUUUUAAAAACCUAAUUACCAUCUACUACUAUAUCAGAGAAGAAAUGAUAUUUUAAUGUAGAAAAUUGGCUGCUAAGCUAAAUCCAUGAUGACUGCAACAAAUCCAGGAUGUCCUUUUGAAUGGAUUCUUUUGGCUGGGUGGCUUCUCAGGCAUCUUCAGCCAUUGUUAAACUCCAUGAGAAGGCG